rnacentral:tRNA from 1 species
GGUCUUAGCUCAGCUGGGAGAGCAUCUGCCUUACAAGCAGAGGGUCACAGGUUCAAGUCCUGUAGGCCCC